AGGCAGCUCCAAAAUGGUGUUUCAGCUUAGCUCAGUGCUUUCUGUGGUGGUGGGGCACUUGUUGGGAUGUGUUUGUUGAGUAAGGAUGAAUAUGUUGGAGACCCAUUUGAGGCGUCAAAUGGUGAAGUUUGCGCUGGGAAAAGUGGAGUCUCAGAGUGACCAGGAUUUCUGAAUAACAGUGGCAGCCUCAAAAGAAUCUGGACAACAGAAGUUUUUGUUUUGAACAUCGGAGUAGAGCACCUGUCAAAGGAGUCAUCUCAGGGGUGAUGACGGAUGUUCAGGUUGAAAACCUGAAGAUAAUUCCUGGUGUGGUUGGUGCCCGGUGUCUGACCAGCUGGGUGAAAGGAGAAAGUGUUGGUCCUAUUUUUUGAUAAAGAGCAGAUAACUACGCAUGUGAAGCUUGGUUAAAGUAAAAUACGCCGUCAGAGCUUUCGUCCCCAAACCAUUGCAAUGUAAGAAUUGUAAAGGAUUUGUCCAUGUUUCAAGUGUGUGGAGAUGGACAGAGUAUUGAAGGACGACAGUGUUGCAAUUGUGGUGGGGAUCAUGAUCCCCAAUUCCUGGAGUGUGCUCUAAGGGUGAAGGAGAUUGAGGUGGUAAAAUUAGAGCAGUGAAUCGAAUCUCCGAUGCGGAUGCGAUUAAAAUAAUUGAGAAAACAAGUUAUGCUAGGGAAGAUAUGGUAGUGUUAAAAAGGUGGAUUUUGUGGCGUUCAUUGCUAUAGUUAUAAACUGUACGGCACGUCUCAGAAAUCCUAAGAAACUGGACAUUAUUGUGGCUGCGGCAGAAAAGUUUACAUUUGAAGACCUGUAAGGGCGCUGGAAGACCUGACCUUCCAGGUGCCCCUUGAGCCGGUGUAGGGAUCAGAUCUGUUUUAUUUAUUUUUUAACAGAAAAGUAGAGUAUUUUUAAUUUUUUUGUAUUUUAUUACAUUUUUGGUAUCCUGUUUCCAUCCUGCACAGUAGGUGGCGGAAUGCACAUUAAAUUGUGCUAUCACAAAUAUAUUAUAGUAUAAAUAGUUUUUGGUGUGGUAGAAGUUAGAUAUUUAUUUGGUUUUGAAUUUUAUUUUCAUGGUAGUAUAGAAUUGCGCAGAUCAUGAUUGAUCGUACAUUCCAGCACAGUAGGUCCCGGCAUUCACUUAAAUUAUUGUUUGCGGACUGCCAUGAUAUUGUAGAAGUAUUCGGGCCUGGGAAUUUAGCGGAGAAUGUCUCUCCGUGGGGACUGGCCCCCUAUGCAAGUUUCCAUGUCUUGUCUGUUUGGGUGUUUGCUGUGAUCGCAAUGGAACAGUGUCUGCGGAAUGCAAAUUCUUACUGGCGAAUUCGAGUGAGGAAGUGGGCGGCUACGCUGACGACGAACUGUCGCUAAAAUGGUCAUCCAAGAGCAGAGGACGGAGAGAGGCAUUGGUACAACACACAUCUAGGAGCUUUAGCUCCUCUAAGGGACGUGAUUCUUCCUGUGUUCCCCUUACAGGCUGACUACACCACUCGCGUCGCGUGUGCGAGCGUUGCAAAAUAAAUGUAGAAAUCUAUGUUAUUCAAUUAUUGCACCCACACUGCUCGCACGCGCCAACGAGCGUCUGCGUUGCUAAGGGCAAAAUAGAACUCGGUUCCAUUUCUGACGCAGAUCGCGGUGUAAAUCCUGCCUCUCAUCUCCUCAUUGGUUUAUAGAAGCAGGUAUCCACGUGCCAUCUCCUCAUUGGUUAUACCCACUGGGUGACUGAAAGACGAACGAGGUCAGUGGCAUAAUGCACCUAAUUUAUGAAAGUUGCCAAUCGCAAUAUAAAGUCAAGAGAAGAAAACGCAUGGAAGGAAGAAAUUCGGUUGACCAUUUUAUCUGUGGAUUAAUUGGAGGAGUAGAGGACCUUGUGCAUUUCAGCUUCAAUUCUGUGGAGGAAGGGGACCUGCAAUUUGACAGCCGAAGACAGAUCUCAAAGACUCCCCCCACCCAAAUCCACUUUUGUUUAUUCAAGUGAACAGUCAAGAUGGGAAAGCCUUGAUAAACAGCAUACCUGACCGUAUCCCUCAGUCUAGGAGUUUGCAGGUAGUGGGUCAGUCGAAGACAGAAGAUGCUCCCUCUUGGUCAGGAUAUGCAGUUGACGUCGCUCACAGUGAAAGACCAAUUAAUGAGAUGCAUGAGAAGAAACGGGGAGUCUGAAGAGCCAAUCCUAAGUUAUCCAGUGAUAUGGAGACCAUGGAUUCCCUGUCAUAGAGAAACUGGAUGUCUAGAAAAAUUUGACCAAGGGAAUGUGUCAUCAAGAACCAGACAGAUGUCCAAAGGUGCUCAUGGAUUCCAGCACCCUGUCAGGCUCUUCAUGCCCAAGUCCAGGACUGAGGAAUAUGUGUCUCAUUUGGGGAAGGUGGUCUUGGACAGUUUCCCUGUCCAAGCCACUCUCCACUUCUACAACGAUGACUCCAGCUCUGAGGAUGAUGAAGAUAUGGAGGAAGAGCUGGAGGUUCAUUCACAUAGUUUGGAUCACAGGUCCCAUCCACUCAGAGAUAAUUCAGAGAGGUAGCUAGUCUUUACUGUUUUGGAAACAAGCAGGUGUGAUUGGACAAGGGAGACGGACAGUGCAGCAGGUCACAGGAGACAUGUUACUUCCAUGGUGAGGGUCUAGUAGGACCCAAUGUGUUCACCUGAGACAGCCACAGAAAGCCGGGAAGGGCCAGGUCACUGGCUGCAUGUGGCUUCACUGAGGUGAUUCUGUUUACACCAGAUCACCGUCAACACACCUUUAACCUGGAUAUGGCCAUUUUCCUUGACAACGUCCUAUGUUCUCUGGACCUUGUCAUACAAACUCAAGUUGGCCUUGUGCUGGUCCCUUGUUUUUGUUUGUAGUGAAACAUUUUCUAUGCUUUCAAUGUUUUGUAAUUAUAAUAUUUUUUUUAUGUGUGUAUGACAGUGUGUGUGUAAUACAUUGCUGGACAUAUGAGUUACUGUGUAGAUGGUUUGUUGGUUGAAAUGUAAAUAAUGUAUGUGCAUAGAAUUGAAUAUUACUGUUAUGCGCUUAGCUAGUGA